AUCUGGUUGAUCCUGCCAGUAGUCAUAUGCUUGUCUCAGAGAUUAAGCCAUGCAUGUCUAAGUACAUACCUCAAAACGGUGAAACCGCGAAUGGCUCAUUAAAUCAGCUAUGGUUCCUUAGAUCGUACAUACUACAUGGAUAACUGUAGUAAUUCUAGAGCUAAUACAUGCCACUAUGCCCUGACCCGCGAGGGAACGGGUGGAUUUAUUAGAACAGAACCAACCGGUUGUGGCUUCGGCCGCUUCCGUUAUACUCUGUGAUGACUCUGGAUAACUUCACUGAUCGCGUCGGCCUUGUGUCGGCGACGGAUCUUUCAAAUGUCUGCCCUAUCAAUUUACGAUGGUAGGUGACCUGCCUACCAUGGUGAUAACGGGUAACGGGGAAUCAGGGUUCGAUUCCGGAGAGGGAGCCUGAGAAACGGCUACCACUUCCAAGGAAGGCAGCAGGCACGCAAAUUACCCAAUCCCGGCACGGGGAGGUAGUGACGAAAAAUACGAAUACGGGACUCAACAGAGGCUCCGUAAUUCGAAUGAGUACAAUUUAAAUCCUUUAACGAGGAUCAACUGGAGGGCAAGUCUGGUGCCAGCAGCCGCGGUAACUCCAGCUCCAGAAGCGUAUAUUAAAGUUGUUGCAGUUAAAAAGCUCGUAGUUGGAUCUGGGUCGCAUGGCUACGUGCCGUCGCUCACUUUCUCGGUUGGCUGUUAAGGCCCUGGGUUUGGUGGGUCGGUGUCGUGGUUGUGUGGUCUUUCUGCCGUGUCUGUUUUGCAGGUGCUGACUAGGCCUUCGGGUUUGUCGGCAUGCUUUCAGAUGCCUUUAAACGGGUGUCGGGGGCGGACGGCACGUUUACUUUGAACAAAUUUGAGUGCUCAAAGCAGGCCCUUGUGCCUGAAAAUUCUUGCAUGGAAUAAUGGAAUAGGACUUCGGUUCUAUUUUGUUGGUUUUCGGAUCCGAAGUAAUGGUUAAGAGGGACAGACGGGGGCAUUUGUAUGGCGGUGUUAGAGGUGAAAUUCUUGGAUCGCCGCCAGACAAACUACAGCGAAAGCAUUUGCCAAGGAUGUUUUCAUUGAUCUGGAGCGAAAGUCAGAGGUUCGAAGACGAUCAGAUACCGUCCUAGUUCUGACCAUAAACGAUGCCAACUGACGAUCCGCGGUGGUUCUUUUAUUGUCCCCGCGGGCAGUCCCCGGGAAACCUUUAAAGUCUUUGGGCUCCGGGGGAAGUAUGGUUGCAAAGCUGAAACUUAAAGGAAUUGACGGAAGGGCACCACCAGGAGUGGAGCCUGCGGCUUAAUUCGACUCAACACGGGAAAACUCACCCGGCCCGGACACUGUGAGGAUUGACAGAUUGAAAGCUCUUUCUUGAUUCGGUGGUUGGUGGUGCAUGGCCGUUCUUAGUUGGUGGAGCGAUUUGUCUGGUUAAUUCCGAUAACGAACGAGACUUUGGCCUGCUAAAUAGUAUGCCUGUCCUCUGUGCCCGUGCGGGUGGCGGUGCUCGCUGCCUCUUCGGGGGUGGUGGUGCCGUUCGCCGGCGGGUGCUGCGCAGGUGUUUACUUCUUAGAGGGACAAGCGGCGUGACAGUCGCACGAAAAUGAGCAAUAACAGGUCUGUGAUGCCCUUAGAUGUCCGGGGCCGCACGUGCGCUACAAUGACGGUUUCAGCGAGUCUGGGAACCUGGCCCGAAAGGGUUGGGCAAACUGAGUCAUCACCGUCGUGACUGGGAUCGGGGCUUGCAAUUGUUCCCCGUGAACGAGGAAUUCCUGGUAAGUGCAAGUCAUAAGCUUGCGCUGAUUACGUCCCUGCCCUUUGUACACACCGCCCGUCGCUACUACCGAUUGAAUGGUUUAGCAAGGUCCUCGGAUUGGCGCCAUUGUAGUUGUUUCGGCAGCUCGACCGGUGCUGAGAAGACGACCAAACUUGAUCAUUUAGAGGAAGUAAAAGUCGUAACAAGGUUUCCGUAGGUGAACCUGCGGAAGGAUCAUUA